AUUGGUGGUGUCAUCAUUAUUUCCAGAGACGAGGCAUCCCUGUAGCUGACUAUAUUCCUAUCUUUGGGAACAGGCUGCAAUGGCGUGAGGGAAUUUGGAAGGCUAUGGACGACUAUCACAAGAAGCAUGGAAAGGUGGUCGGGAUGUACGAUUUUCAACGCCCAAUUCUGAUUGUCAGUGAACCCGAAUUCCUGAAGAGUAUCCUGGUC